rnacentral:rRNA from 1 species
CCUACGGGAGGCAGCAGUGGGGAAUAUUGGACAAUGGGCGAAAGCCUGAUCCAGCCAUGCCGCGUGUGUGAAGAAGGCCUUCGGGUUGUAAAGCACUUUAAGCGGGGAGGAAGGUUCGCUACUUAAUACGUAGCGGAAUUGACGUUACCCGCAGAAUAAGCACCGGCUAACUCUGUGCCAGCAGCCGCGGUAAUACAGAGGGUGCAAGCGUUAAUCGGAAUUACUGGGCGUAAAGCGCGCGUAGGCGGUUGUGUAAGUUGGAUGUGAAAGCCCCGGGCUCAACCUGGGAAUUGCAUUCAAAACUGCACGGCUAGAGUACGGGAGAGGGGGGUAGAAUUCCAGGUGUAGCGGUGAAAUGCGUAGAGAUCUGGAGGAAUACCGAUGGCGAAGGCAGCCCCCUGGCCUGAUACUGACGCUGAGGUGCGAAAGCAUGGGGAGCAAACAGGAUUAGAUACCCCUGUAGUC